GAUGAACGCUGGCGGCGUGCCUAAUACAUGCAAGUAGAACGCUGAAGGAAGGAGCUUGCUCUUUCCGGAUGAGUUGCGAACGGGUGAGUAACGCGUAGGUAACCUGCCUGGUAGCGGGGGAUAACUAUUGGAAACGAUAGCUAAUACCGCAUAACAGUAGAUGUUGCAUGAUAUCUACUUAAAAGGUGCAAUUGCACCACUACCAGAUGGACCUGCGUUUUAUUAGCUAGUUGGUGAGGUAACGGCUCACCAAGGCGAAGAUACAUAGCCGACCUGAGAGGGUGAUCGGCCACACUGGGACUGGGACACGGCCCAGACUCCUACGGGAGGCAGCAGUAGGGAAUCUUCGGCAAUGGACGGAAGUCUGACCGAGCAACGCCGCGUGAGUGAAGAAGGUUUUCGGAUCGUAAAGCUCUGUUGUAAGAGAAGAACGAGUGUGAGAGUGGAAAGUUCACACUGUGACGGUAUCUUACCAGAAAGGGACGGCUAACUACGUG
rnacentral:rRNA from 1 species